rnacentral:rRNA from 1 species
CCUACGUGUGGCAGCAGUGGGGAAUAUUGCACAAUGGGGGAAACCCUGAUGCAGCGAUGCCGCGUGUGUGAAGAAGUAAUUCGUUACGUAAAGCACUAUCAGCAGGGAGGAAAAUGACGGUACCUGAAUAAGCAGCCACUGCUAACUACGUGACAGCAGCCGCGGUAAUACGUAGGGUGCAAGCGUUAGCCGGAUUUACUGGGUGUAAAGUGAGCGUAGACGGUUCGCCAAGUCUGGAGUGAAAUGCCGCAGCUUAACCGCGGAACUGCGUUGGAGACUGGCGAACUAGAGUGCGGGAGGGGGAAGUAGAAUUCCAGGUGUAGCGGUGAAAUGCGUAGAUAUUAGGAGGAAGACCGGUGGCGAAGGCGGCUUACUGGAC